rnacentral:rRNA from 1 species
UACGAAGGGGGCUAGCGUUGCUCGGAAUUACUGGGCGUAAAGCGCACGUAGGCGGUCUUUUAAGUCGGGGGUGAAAUCCUGGAGCUCAACUCCAGAACUGCCUUCGAUACUGGAAGACUCGAGUCCGGGAGAGGUGAGUGGAACUGCGAGUGUAGAGGUGAAAUUCGUAGAUAUUCGCAAGAACACCAGUGGCGAAGGCGAGUCCCUGGACAACUUCUGACGCUGAGGCACGAAAGCUAGGGGAGCAAACAGG